CAGCACUGGGCAUGGCCCGCCCGCCAGCUCCAGGGUUUGCCUGCACCUUGGACCAGACGUGCUUUGAACUCAACUCCAGCCACACAAGCUGUUUUAUUUCAGAAGGAGCUUGGCCCAAAGACCAAACAGGAAGGGCGCUGUGUAACCAGGUUGUUACUGGUAACGAGACCAGGGCUCUUUGUUCUGGGACAAGCUCACGUCUUUGCAAAUGUGUUCUUUCCUGGCCUUACGUCAAUUAAGUAAUUUAUCUGGCCUAAAGCGAGUCAGAUACACCCGCGUCCACCACGUCCACCACCAGUAACAUUUCCAGUCCUUUUUUUUCCAGGCUCCUCAGCAAAAGAGGACCCAGGAGAAGGGAUGGGACCCCGUGUACGCCGAGGUGCCUCCCACGCAUCCUCAGCCGAAGACUGAACUGAAGACCGGUGAUAUCUACAGGUGCAUAAAUGGAUUUGGGACGGGUUGAAUUUCUCCCCCCUUCCAAAGAAGAGCUAUGAAGUGCGAGGCCCCGGGCCUGCAAAGGUGACUUCAUUUUGCAGGUGAUGAAAUUCAGAUGAGGUCACAGCAAUGGCUGUCGUCCAACCCAACCGGGAAGCGUGGACACCAAGGAGCACACGUGGGCGGACACCAGGAAGGAUUUGAAUUAAGCUGCCCCAAGCCAAGAGCCCCGGGCAGCCGGGAGAGAGCUGGGACCGGUCCGGUCAGUGCCUCCACCCCGUGCCCGGGCCGCUGACUUUGACCUUGGACUUCAACCCCAGGACGGGACUGCAGCAAUGCAGUCUGUCGUGGUUCUGUGCUGGGCAGCCCCGGACCCGCUGUUGUGGGAAAUGACUGUUGAGUCAAGGAUACCCCAAAUGGAAAUGGGAACGUGGUCAAGAGGAAGCCCCUUUGUCCACCCUCCUUCUGGGCUCCUCCAGCACUCCUGGGCCCCGCGGCAGCGCACGGAGCCCGACUUCCUGGGGACGGAGCCCCAGUUGUGCCCACUGCUCACAGCACUGUCCUGGUGCGCACCCAGAGAGGGAGGGGCUGGCAACACUGCACUUACUGCAGCCAUGACUGCCGGGAGCAAAGGAAUUGGUAGGCGCUUGCGAACUCCCCUAGAGCAGCCUCGGUGAUCCGGAGAAAGAAGGUUCAUCUCACACGCCAUCUGCCUCAGCCUUCAUUGGGGCCUUGAGUUACAUCUCCUCUGAUAUACUCAAUACUUGUGUUUCUUCUUCUUUUUUUUUUUUUUUUGGUACCGGGGAUCGAACUCAGGUCCUUGCACUUUCGAGGCAGGCAGCAGAACCUCUGAGCUAAAUCCCUGGCCCUCAGUACUUGUGAACGAUACCUAAACCGCUCUUUCCAGUUGAAUUAGUUUUCCCUGUGAUGUCCAUCCGGGGAACCAAGACAUACUUAGAAAUAUAGAAAAUCUUAAGAAAAAACAACAAGAAACUAUUAAAAGAGGCCAUUUCUCCCAACUAUAACUGCGUCAUUUUGUCAUCUCUUCACUUGAGUCAUGUAACAGCUCCUUUGAGGAAGCUUUUCAUUGGGAAAGAAUUUCAAACUCACAGAAAUGCUAAGAAGAGCUCUCAUAAAUCCUUUUGCCAGCAUUGCCUAUUAAUCUUUUGCCUCAUUUGGUUGAUAAUUUGCCCUCGUUCGAGCCCUCUACAUCAUCCAUUAAUCAACUUAUUCAACAUUUACUGAGCGGAAGACAGAGCAGAGGAGAGUAGGUGGCUAGCAGAGGCUGGCUGGGAGCAGGGCUGGCGAGCACAUCCCAGCCACAGUCCUGGCAUCCUGAGGUCUGGGGCACCCUGCGGCCUUCCCAGACUCACUGUCACCCCCACCAUUGUGUCGUUGUUGACGCCUCUGUUCCACAGGGAGAAACAGAUGCAGGUCCAAGGGCAGCCAGCAUGGCCAGGUCCCAGCUGUCAUUCUGAGACUCCUGCUUUCCAGGUUUCCCAGUACUACAUCUUCCAGGGCGGAGCUCAGGCUCAGGUCAGCGAAGCCCCUGGUUGGCUGCCCAGGCGCUAGACUCAGGCCUCGCACGGAAGCACACGGUGCUCGAGUGCAUCUUACAACCCAGGCUCCAUGAUCCAGAGUCGAUUUCUGGAGAGCAGUCAGGGUCUGCGGGCGCUGGUGCGCAGGGAUGCUGCCAGGUGUCCUUUGCAGAGAGGAGGAUGCCAGGAUGUGGAAGUUGAGCCUCCUGCCCACAGCUACCAGCCCUGCUGCAGGAUUCCAGCUCAGGUAGAAAACACCUGGAGUCACUGAAGCCCCGGGACCCUGACGAGACCCGACUGUAACCACAAACGCUGCAGAACACGGGGAGGCCCUGCCAGCCCCUCUGGCAGCCAGGUGGCUGUGAUGGGGCGAAGUGACUGCAUUUGGGAAGGCAAGCAUCCCAGGUCGCCUUCAAACUGCCCCACACCCUGGCACCGGGAAGGAAGAGACGAAAGGAAAUUCGCCCCCUGGAGCGCUUCCAGUGUCCACACCCCAGGUGUGGGCCCUGGCCGGGCAGACACUGGCCCACUGAGCUGCACCCCAGCCGGCAAAGGGCCCAGGAUCCCGAAGCUCAGAUGCGCUCUGUCUGGUGAGACCUGCCUUGUGUGUCUGCACUCGCUGGGGAAAAUCCAGAGGAAAAUUCAUGGAGAGGAAACCCUCCUGCUCUCUUUAUUUCCCCUUUUACUGUGGCCCUGGGGAUUGGACUCAUGGCCCACUUACUGAGCUACAUCCCAACCUUCUCUAAAUUGUUUUUGAGACACAGUCUUGUUAUGUUUUAAGUUGCCCAGGCUAGGUUCAAACUUUCGACCCUCCUGCCUCAGCCUCCUAGAGUGCUGAGAUUACAGGCCUGUGUCCCCUCGUUCCUGGCAUUUCUGCUUACAGGGCAGACACAGAGCUUGUGCAGGGAGCGGGUCCCUGCGGGGAGAGGAAGCCGGGGGCCGGCACUUCCUGCUGGGGCCGACAGGGGGGCGCUGGCAGGUGAGGAGCGUGGAGGCCCGGCGUUCUCCAGCCUGGAGUCAUUCGCAAGCACAGCGAGCAAUGGGACACGUGCAGGUGGGCACAGAUGCCGGCCCCAGGCCCCUCGUGCAUAAAGAUACGAAUCUUAAUUAUUAACGCUAAGAUGGAAAACACUGCUCCCAGUUAGGAAAUUCAAACGGGCUGUCUCCUCGGUCCCCUGCACAAAGCGGGUCUGUUCUGGGACAUCCAGCUGUCCAGGCCCGUGCCAGCACCACGGCGUCCCCGGCGGGCAGCUCACUGGUGCCGCGGGAACGGGGUGCUGGGGUCUAGACGCCCCCGGGAGCCAGGGGAGAGGCCGGUGCCUGGCCGCAGAGGCUUCUGGGAGACUCCUGAAAUGCCCCGGAGAAGACGGCUGGGAAGAGCCGCGUUUUCGGAGCGGGUGUCCCAGGCGACUGCCAGCUGGGGACAUCGUGGGCACAAAGAGCGAGGUGGCGGGGCAGCAGCCAGCAGAAGCCGCCCCAGCCAGGCUGGGGAUCAUCACGUCCGUUGGCCGAGGGACAAGAGUUCAGGUGCUGCCAAUAGGCUGUGGGGAACUAAGGGCACUUGAAGUCCCCGCUGGCGUGAGACAAGGGAGCUUCCAGGGCGGAGAUGAGACACAACCUUCAGGAUGCUUUCCGGGGCCUGGGCUGGGCUCGUAGGUACUGGAGGCCCCGGGUUCAAUUCCCAGCACAAGAAAAAGGAAAAAACUCAAAAAACGAAAAGCAGCCCCCCCAAACGACAAAUAAAAUCCAAACGCCCUACAGAUUUUCAAGUUGACAAUCUUUCUUUUUACUUAGCCUCACUAAGAACGCUUCUCGUAUUGUACCAGUAGUGACAGCACUAGCUUUUAACUUGAGGUACAUUUGUAUUGUUUAAAAAUAAGGGCCGGGGAUUUAGCUCAGUGGUUCCACCACCUGCCUUGGAAGCGCAAGGUCCCAAGUUCAAUCCCCAGUACUAAAAAAAAAAUUAUAUCAAUUCCUUUUUCUGUGGAGAGUAUGUUUUAGAAAUUGGGAACGGAAGUUAAGUUUUGUCGAAUGCAUUCAUGGAGAAAAAACCAGGUGAUGGUUUCCUCCCCUUUUUGGCGAAGGUUGCUAACAUUUUUUAGUACUAAAGCAUUUCUAUUCUUGAUUUAAAACUUAUGAUAGUGGGAUAUUAUUCUUUUAAUUUGCUGAUAGAUUCUAUUUCAUAAUAUUUAAUUUCAAGUUUUGGUAUUGAAUGCAGUAAAACUGGGGUGUUUUUGUUAAGAUGCGGGGCAUUUCUGUCCCAUUUGAGUGACAAUAUAUUGCUUGCUUCACAGAAGCUCGCCUGGAAGCUUUCCCUCUGCCUUGCUGUGGAAAGGCAUGCCGCGCUCUUGAGUUUUAUAUUUUUCUUAAUCGCUUAGUGCAUUCUGCUGGUGAAGCCCCCUGGGCGCUGAGCUGGAUUUCCACCUCUCCUGGGAGCAACCUGGGCACCUGCAGCAUGGUCGCUGUGCACCCGGGCUGCCCUUGGCAGCUGCCAAGUGGCAUAGUUCCAGGCCCGUGAGUCAAGCACGGGUCUCUCCAGUGGCUGUGUCCACACCAUGACUCCCUUCCUGCACGCUCUCUUUUUGUCUACCUGUCCCCUGAAAUCUGUGGCUUUAGGGCAUUUUUAAAAUUUUAUUUAUGUCUUUUUCUGGUACCGGGAAUUGAACUCAGGACCUUGCACUUAUCAGGCAGGUGUGGUGUCACUGAGCUACAUCCCCAGCCCUUGUUAAAUUUAUUUAUUCAUUUAGUUAGUUUUAAAUUCUUCUUAGGGUUUGAGGAGCCUCCCUCUUGACUCCUUUCUGCCCCUUGCUCUGCUCCUCCAGACUCGGGAGCCAGACACGAGGUCUGUCUGGAGGGCUGUGUGGCUCCCAGGGGCCGAGGCCUUCUCCCCUGCCCCUCCCCCUCCCGGUCUACUCCGCAGCCAUUCCUGGGAUUGUUGGU
ensembl:lncRNA